AUCAGCCUUUUGGGCGUGAUUUUGUGGAGCGUGAGCAUUACCCCCUUCAUGCCUGCAUAUUCGUGCACUUUGGGGGUACUUGCCCGUUUGGUUGGUUAACAUCAAUUUUGGUGGUCAAAAAAUGACUGGAGGAAUGUAGCUUCCAUCUCGAGUUGAAGUGUUAUAGCCUUCGGUAGUUGGGAUGAUCGAGAUUGAGGAUUGCAACGGAUACCCUUCGGGGCUACCUGUCUGAUCUCUGAUCGUUGCUCUGGUGCCGAAAGCUUGCUUACGGUUAUCAAAGUUGAUGGUCAAUAGGUUAGAACGGUUUAAAUUCGUUAAGGAUGUUGACGUAUUGACUUU
rnacentral:rRNA from 1 species